UACGUAGGGGCCAAGCGUUGUCCGGAUUUAUUGGGCGUAAAGAGCUCGUAGGCGGUUCGGCAAGUCAGCUGUGAAAUCUCCCGGCUCAACUGGGAGGGGUCAUUCGAUACUGGCAGGCUCGAGGCCGUUAGGGGGAAGCGGAAUUCCGGGUGUAGUGGUGGAAUGCGUAGAUAUCCGGAGGAACACCAGUGGCGAAGGCGGCUUCCUGGACCGGUUCUGACACUGAGGAGCGAAAGCGUGGGGAGCGAUCCGG
rnacentral:rRNA from 1 species